rnacentral:lncRNA from 1 species
UGUCUGAUCCUAUACUAAGGUGAGUAUAGAGUUCACAAAUUUGACUAUGUUGCCCUACAUGUAAGCUGGAGAAUAAAAGGUGAAUGUUGCUGCCAAAGGAUAGUUGGAAAGGGUCUGAAGUUUCUUAUCCAUAUUGGAGCGCAGUUGAGAUCAUUUAAACAAGAAAAUCAACACAAUCAAUCAAUGAUGUUUGUUCCCUUAGCUUUUGUUUUUCAUUAUUGUAGAAUAACCUCUCAUAUAUGGAUUAAAUAUAUUUAAGAUUCUUAGUUAUGUCACUGAACUUUGAUCCACAGAAGAUGUCUUUGACCGUUUAAAAUGGAGUAUACCACUGAUCAAGCAUCUCAUGGAAUAAGGAUUUUAUCUACCUUAGAUUAUGAAAGCUUAGGCAGAAUGGCUCUGAGAAUUGGC